rnacentral:tRNA from 2 species
UUAAGGGAGACCAACACCCCUCAAAUAUCGAAAGCAAAGUGCAAAUAGAUAUAAGAGAAGGUCAAACCAAGGUCGGUCGCAGAGAUUUGCUCAAAGCUUUCAAACUAUGAUUUGGUUCGAGAUAUGGGCUAUUAGCUCAGGUGGUUAGAGCGCACCCCUGAUAAGGGUGAGGUCCCUGGUUCGAGUCCAGGAUGGCCCACCUGAAACCAGUGAGCAGUAAACAGUAAACAGUGAUCAGAAAAAACUGAUAAAUGUGAACUGAAGACUGAUAACUGAGUGAUGGGGGUUUAGCUCAGUUGGUAGAGCGCCUGCUUUGCAAGCAGGAUGUCAGCGGUUCGAGUCCGCUAACCUCCACCUGUGGUAAGAAACCAGAGCAAUCAAAACAAGUCAAAUUCAGCAACAUGGUAAUAGCCAGACUGCUGGAUAAGAUACCAGCCAGAACCUUGAAAACUGCAUAAGUAACGCGAAAUUGUAGGUAGUCAGAAGUCAUUUGUAAAAACAAAGGACAAUUGACUUGAUACAGACACCAAAUGUUUGAGU